rnacentral:rRNA from 1 species
UACGGGGGGGCAAGCGUUGUUCGGAAUUACUGGGCGUAAAGGGCUCGUAGGCGGCCAACUAAGUCAGACGUGAAAUCCCUCGGCUUAACCGGGGAACUGCGUCUGAUACUGGAUGGCUUGAGUUUGGGAGAAGGGAUGCGGAAUUCCAGGUGUAGCGGUGAAAUGCGUAGAUAAUCUGGAGGAACACCGGUGGCGAAGGCGGCAUCCU